rnacentral:rRNA from 1 species
GCCCGCUCAGAACUACAAAGGAAUUGACGGGGGCCCGCACAAGCGGUGGAGCAUGUGGUUUAAUUCGAUGCAACGCGAAGAACCUUACCUAGGUUUGACAUCCGGAAGACCUUCCCGAAAAGGAAGGGUGCCCUUCGGGGAAUUCCGAGACAGGUGCUGCAUGGCUGUCGUCAGCUCGUGCCGUGAGGUGUUGGGUUAAGUCCCGCAACGAGCGCCAACCCCUAUUGCCAGUUGCUACCAGGUAAUGCUGGGCACUCUGGUGAGACUGCCCCGGUUAACGGGGAGGAAGGUGGGGACGACGUCAAGUCAUCAUGGCCCUUACGCCUAGGGCUACACACGUACUACAAUGGCGCAUACAAAGGGCAGCGAUACCGCGAGGUGGAGCCAAUCCCAAAAAGUGCGUCCCAGUCCGGAUUGCAGUCUGCAACUCGACUGCAUGAAGUUGGAAUCGCUAGUAAUUCGAGAUCAGCAUGCUCGGGUGAAUGCGUUCCCGGGCCUU